UGGGGAAUAUUGCACAAUGGGCGCAAGCCUGAUGCAGCCAUGCCGCGUGUGUGAAGAAGGCCUUCGGGUUGUAAAGCACUUUCAGCGAGGAGGAAGGUGGUGAGCUUAAUACGCUCAUCAAUUGACGUUACUCGCAGAAGAAGCACCGGCUAACUUCGUGCCAGCAGCCGCGGUAAUACGGAGGGUGCAAGCGUUAAUCGGAAUUACUGGGCGUAAAGCGCACGCAGGCGGUUUGUUAAGUCAGAUGUGAAAUCCCCGGGCUCAACCUGGGAACUGCAUUUGAAACUGGCAAGCUAGAGUCUCGUAGAGGGGGGUAGAAUUCCAGGUGUAGCGGUGAAAUGCGUAGAGAUCUGGAGGAAUACCGGUGGCGAAGGCGGCCCCCUGGACGAAGACUGACGCUCAGGUGCGAAAGCGUGGGGCAGCAAACAGGAUUAGAUACCCUGGUAGUCCACGCUGUAAACGAUGUCGAUUUGGAGGUUGUGCCCUUGAGGCGUGGCUUCCGGAGCUAACGCGUUAAAUCGACCGCCUGGGGAGUACGGCCGCAAGGUUAAAACUCAAAUGAAUUG
rnacentral:rRNA from 1 species